UACGUAGGGUGCGAGCGUUGUCCGGAAUUAUUGGGCGUAAAGGGCUCGUAGGCGGUUUGUCGCGUCGGGAGUGAUAAUCCAGGGCUUAACUCUGGACUGGCUUCCGAUACGGGCAGACUAGAGGUAUGCAGGGGAGAACGGAAUUCCUGGUGUAGCGGUGAAAUGCGCAGAUAUCAGGAGGAACACCGGUGGCGAAGGCGGUUCUCUGGGCAUUACCUGACGCUGAGGAGCGAAAGUGUGGGGAGCGAACAGG
rnacentral:rRNA from 1 species